rnacentral:tRNA from 1 species
AAGGGAGACCUAAUUCGGGUAGGAGACGAAAAAAAAGUAGUCGCUACCAAGAAUCAAUCCCAAAAGGUCGGAGCGAGGCGAAAUUGGCUUUCAAACUAGGUUCUGGGUUCACACAAGACCUGAAUCAGGAACAAGGGCUAUUAGCUCAGGUGGUUAGAGCGCACCCCUGAUAAGGGUGAGGUCCCUGGUUCGAGUCCAGGAUGGCCCACCUGUACAGGUGGCCAAAACCAAGAAAAGAAGCGAGGAAUCAGCACCUGCUCUUACCUACAUAGUAAGAGAGAAUGCUGGCUCUGAGUACAGAGUCCAGAGGAACCUUGAAAACUGCAUAGAGCUAGGUGAAAAAGCCAAAAAAGAAGACCGCAUGCAA